CACGUAGGGCGCGAGCGUUGUCCGGAAUUAUUGGGCGUAAAGAGCUCGUAGGCGGCCUGUUGCGUCCGCUGUGAAAGCCCCGGGGCUUAACCCCGGGUCUGCAGUGGAUACGGGCAGGCUAGAGGUAGGUAGGGGAGAAUGGAAUUCCCGGUGUAGCGGUGAAAUGCGCAGAUAUCGGGAAGAACACCCGUGGCGAAGGCGGCUCUCUGGGACGGUACUGACGCUGAGACGCGAAAGCGUGGGGAGCGAACAGG
rnacentral:rRNA from 1 species